GCCGGGCAUGGUGGCUCAUGCCUGUAAUCCCAGCACUUUGGGAGGCUGAGGCAGGAGGAUUACUUGAGGUCAGGAGUUCGAAACCACCCUGGCCAACAAGGUGAAACCCUGUCUCUA
rnacentral:SRP_RNA from 1 species